rnacentral:rRNA from 1 species
AUGACCACGCCACAUGGAUGCAUGCAAGAGCUGUUGCAUGGCGGCAAUGCUGCUGUUCCUGGGGCAAUUACCGUACAACGCCGCAAGGAGAACUUAUCUGCGAAAGAAAUCGCAGCGCUUGGGAACAUCAAGGAGUUUUGCGCUGGGUUGCUUAAAAAGCUUGCCCCGCCGCUUCUCAAGGAGUUUGAAGGUCUGCAAGGGGUCAAAUCAGGCCAAGACCCAUUCACCCCACGCCGCACAACUCGGUCCAUUUGUGCAAGUAGCUCUAGGAAGACGAAGGCCUCGGCAGCUGAAACGGUGCUGCUUAGAACCCUGGGCCUGGACUGUGAUGAUCUGGCGGUCUCGGAAGAUGCGCUAGGUCAGCUCGGUACAGUCUUCGACUCGCCACUCCAGGAGCCGCAGUUGAGGGCCAUCGCGGCUAUCUUCGGGAAGGCGAUACCGCUCAACCUCUCGGAAGAGGCAGGGAUGGCAGAGCCGAUCUUGGCGCAGUACGCACGUUGGUGCCGGUGGUGUUGGAGGCAUCUUGUUCCGAUGUCGUUCGACACUUUGGAGUUAGUGUGUUGGAAUGUUAAAGGCCUUAACAGUCCGGCCAAAAGGAAGGCGCUUAGGGGUUUUGUGGAUUCUACUCGCGCGGCGAUUGUUUGUAUCCUAGAAACUAAACUUGAGGUGGUGGACACUUUUGUAAUCUUGCAAUGCAUGGGGCCGAACUAUGAUGGUUUCACUUACUUAACGGUGUUGGGCAUUAGAGGUGGUAUCUUUCUGGCAUGGGACACCACACGGGUCCUCUUGUCAAAUUAUGUCAAUGACUCCCAUAGCAUUUCGGCGGACAACCUGUUGGUAGUAGGCUUGAUUGACCCUUUGGCUCUCGUUGGAGUGUAUAAUUCAAGAAUGGAUGGAAGGUCUUCCACUGCUUGUUUUCUGGUGAUGCUUGUCUUGUUCAGAAGCACUACACCUGCAGAGAAUUGUUUCAUUCAACGCUAUCUGACAGUGUUCUGCACCAAGGAUGAAUGCAAGCUUGAAUGCCUGUUUCAUUGGAAUGACAAGUGGAUCCACGAACAUUGGUGUGAUGGGAAGAUCUUUGGCAAAUCAUGUAAAAUAGCCAAACACACAAUGAUGGCUAUGUUUGGCGUAUCUCGGAAGAAGCGGCACACAUAUAUGCUCAUCUUUGUGAGCAUGUGGCCUUGUAUAAAGAAAUGGAGGAACUACACCUUGGGGCCCGUCGGACGGCUUGGCCCAGGCUUGUCUCCUUCCAUACCUCAACGAAUCCCCCACCUUGCCUCACCAGUCCACCCCAACACUGCUCAUUACGCCAGGCAGUUCUCACACAUUGCCAUGUUCAGACGCAGUUCGCACACAUCUACACACCACCAUCAUGGUCUACCUCCCCUUUGCACACCACUGUACUCAUGCCCUACCUAUGAACAUCCGAGAGGUGAGGGCAAAGACGAGAAUGGGGUAAAUGGUUGUGCAUCAAAGGGAAAAGAGGACAAACCCAUGCUGCUCCUCCACCUAGUCCUAUAG